GACGAACGCUGGCGGCGUGCUUAACACAUGCAAGUCGAACGGAAAGGCCUUUUCGGCGGUACUCGAGUGGCGAACGGGUGGGUAACACGUGGGUGAUCUGCCCUGCACUCUGGGAUAAGCCUGGGAAACUGGGUCUAAUACCGGAUAGGACCGCACUCUAGUGUGUGUGGUGGAAAGUUUUUUCGGUGUAGGAUGAGCCCGCGGCCUAUCAGCUUGUUGGUGGGGUAAUGGCCUACCAAGGCGGCGACGGGUAGCCGGACUGAGAGGUUGGUCGGGCACAAUGGGGAUGCGAAGCGGCCCAGACGUCUACGGGAGGCAGCCGUGGGGAAUAAUGCCCAAUGGGCGCAAGCCUGAUGCAGCGACGCCGCGUGGCGGAUCACGGCCUUCGGGUUGUAAACGCCUUUCGCCAGGGACGAAGCGUUUUGUGACGGUACCUGGAGAAGAAGCACCGGCUAACUACGUG
rnacentral:rRNA from 1 species